rnacentral:rRNA from 1 species
CCUACGGGAGGCAGCAGUGGGGAAUAUUGGGCAAUGGGCGCAAGCCUGACCCAGCAACGCCGCGUGAAGGAAGAAGGCUUUCGGGUUGUAAACUUCUUUUCUCAUGGACGAAGCAAGUGACGGUACCUGAGGAAUAAGCCACGGCUAACUACGUGCCAGCAGCAGCGGUAAUACGUAGGUGGCAAGCGUUAUCCGGAUUUACUGGGUGUAAAGGGCGUGUAGGCGGGAAAGCAAGUCAGAUGUGAAAACCAUGGGCUCAACCCGUGGCCUGCAUUUGAAACUGUUUUUCUUGAGUACUGGAGAGGUAGACGGAAUUCCUAGUGUAGCGGUGAAAUGCGUAGAGAUUAGGAGGAACACCAGUGGCGAAGGCGGUCUGCUGGACAGCAACUGACGCUGAGGCGCGAAAGCGUGGGGAGCAAACAGGAUUAGAUACCCUUGUAGUC